rnacentral:misc_RNA from 1 species
AAGGAUCAUUAUCGUGGGGCUUCGGCCCCGUCGAGAAAGCACCCUUGCCUUUAUCGUACCUUGGGAUAGACCCGCCCCCGGAUCUCCGGGGUGUGGGGUGACCAUGUCCAUUUUCCUCGGCCGCGUUCGCGGCCAAUGGGGAACACAAAACACCCUGCAACCACCUGUACCUGUCUGAUAAAACAAACAAAAAUCAAAACUUUCAACAACGGAUCUCUUGGUUCUG